AUACGGAGGGAGCGAGCGUUAAUCGGAAUUACUGGGCGUAAAGCGCGCGUAGGCGGCUUUGUAAGUCGGAUGUGAAAUCCCCGGGCUCAACCUGGGAACUGCAUUCAAAACUGUUUAACUUGAGUAUGGUAGAGGGAAGUGGAAUUCCAGGUGUAGCGGUGAAAUUCGUAGAUAUCAGGAGGAACACCGGUGGCGAAGGCGACCACCUGGACGGAGACUGACGCUGAGGUGCGAAAGCGUGGGGAGCAAACAGGAUUAGAAACCCCAGUAGUCC
rnacentral:rRNA from 1 species